GAUGAACGCUAGCUACAGGCUUAACACAUGCAAGUCGCGGGGCAUCAUGGAGGUUGCUUGCAAUUUCUGAUGGCGACCGGCGCACGGGUGAGUAACGCGUAUCCAACCUUCCCAUUACUACGGCAUACCCCGUUGAAAGGCGGCCUAAUUCCGUAUGCAGUCCGAAGCAGUCAUCUAAUUUGGACGAAAGGUAUAUUCUAUCGGUAAUGGAUGGGGAUGCGUCCGAUUAGCCAGCCGGCGGGGUAACGGCCCACCGGGGCAUCGAUCGGUAGGGGUUCUGAGAGGAAGGUCCCCCACACUGGAACUGAGACACGGUCCAGACUCCUACGGGAGGCAGCAGUGAGGAAUAUUGGUCAAUGGGCGUAAGCCUGAACCAGCCAAGUAGCGUGCAGGAUGACGGCCCUAUGGGUUGUAAAACUGCUUUUAUGCGGGGAUAAAAGUUGGGGA
rnacentral:rRNA from 1 species